rnacentral:tRNA from 1 species
UCCCAUAGCUCAACAGGAUAGAGCAACUGCCUUCUAAGCAGUAGGUUGGAUGUUCGAGUCAUCCUGGGAUCGCCA